GGGACGGUAGCUCAGUUGGUAGAGCAAGGCCCUUUUAAGGCUUUGGUCCUGGGUUCGAGUCCCAGCCGUCCCACCA
rnacentral:tRNA from 2 species